rnacentral:rRNA from 1 species
GAUGAACGCUGGCGGCGUGCCUAAUACAUGCAAGUCGAGCGAAUGGAUUAAGAGCUUGCUCUUAUGAAGUUAGCGGCGGACGGGUGAGUAACACGUGGGUAACCUGCCCAUAAGACUGGGAUAACUCCGGGAAACCGGGGCUAAUACCGGAUAACAUUUUGAACCGCAUGGUUCGAAAUUGAAAGGCGGCUUCGGCUGUCACUUAUGGAUGGACCCGCGUCGCAUUAGCUAGUUGGUGAGGUAACGGCUCACCAAGGCAACGGUGCGUAGCCGACCUGAGGGGGUGAGCGGCCACACUGGGACUGAGACACGGCCCAGACUCCUACGGGAGGCAGCAGUAGGGAAUCUUCCGCAAUGGACGAAAGUCUGACGGAGCAACGCCGCGUGAGUGACGAAGGCUUUCGGGUCGUAAAACUCUGUUGUUAGGGAAGAACAAGUGCUAGUUGAAUAAGCUGGCACCUUGACGGUACCUAACCAGAAAGCCACGGCUAACUACGUGCCAGCCGCCGCCGUAA